rnacentral:lncRNA from 1 species
CUCAUGAUUACAAUUAUGUGUUUCCAUUCUUCAGUCGUCCUGAAAAGCCAUAUGGAUAUUCUAAUAAUGAAUAUUCGUCUUGAUCAUCUAGCAUGCCUGGAGUGAUAGCUACUUGAGUAUAUAUCACCAUAAUCUUUCGAAAGUGGAAAUCCUCGCAAUCUAUCAUUCCCUUCAACUGAGCUGUUUUGAAAUGUAGCAAAUUAAUAGGUCCAUACAAAUCCAUGUGGAGAAGUUUCAGGGGUCUAGAGGUACUCACUAGUUUCUUUGACUUGAAGAAGGAUCUAGUCUGCUUCCCUUUAACGCAAGCAUCACACACCUUGGUGCUUGCAAACUCAACUUGGGCAUACCUCGAAUCAGGUCCUUA